UACAGAGGUCUCGAGCGUUAGGCGGAAUCACUGGGCUUAAAGCGUGUGUAGGCGGAUCGUUAAGUGCCUUGUGAAAUCCCACGGCUCAACCGUGGAACUGCUUGGCAUACUGGCGGUCUUGAGCAACCUAGGGGCGAGCGGAACAAAUGGUGGAGCGGUGAAAUGCGUAGAUAUCAAGAGGAACACCUGAGGUGAAGACGGGUUGCUGGGCUGACACUGACGCUGAGGCGCGAAAGCUAGGGUAGCAAACGGG
rnacentral:rRNA from 1 species